rnacentral:rRNA from 1 species
GACGAACGCUGGCGGCGUGCUUAACACAUGCAAGUCGAACGGAAAGGCCCUGCUUUUGUGGGGUGCUCGAGUGGCGAACGGGUGAGUAACACGUGAGUAACCUGCCCUUGACUUUGGGAUAACUUCAGGAAACUGGGGCUAAUACCGGAUAGGAGCUCCUGCUGCAUGGUGGGGGUUGGAAAGUUUCGACGGUUGGGGAUGGACUCGCGGCUUAUCAGCUUGUUGGUGGGGUAGUGGCUUACCAAGGCUUUGACGGAUAGCCGGCCUGAGAGGGUGACCGGCCACAUUGGGACUGAGAUACGGCCCAGACUCCUACGGGAGGCAGCAGUGGGGAAUAUUGCACAAUGGGCGGAAGCCUGAUGCAGCAACGCCGCGUGCGGGAUGACGGCCUUCGGGUUGUAAACCGCUUUCGCCUGUGACGAAGCGUGAGUGACGGUAAUGGGUAAAGAAGCACCGGCUAACUACGUG